rnacentral:rRNA from 1 species
CCUACGGGAGGCAGCAGUGGGGAAUAUUGGACAAUGGGGGGAACCCUGAUCCCGCGACGCCGCGUGAGUGAAGACGUAUUUCGGGAUGUAAAGCUCUAUCAGCAGGGAAGAAAAUGACGGUACCUGACUAAUAAGCCCCGGCUAACUCAGUGCAAGCAGCCGCGGUAAUACGCAGGGGGCAAGCGUUAUCCGGAUUUACUGGGUGUAAAGGGAGCGUAGACGGUGCAGCAAGUCAGUUGUGAAAGUUUGGGGCCCAACCCCGGGACUGCAUUGGAAACUGUUGAACUGGAGUACAGGAGAGGUAAGCGGAAUUCCUAGUGUAGCGGUGAAAUGCGUAGAUAUUAGGAGGAACACCAGUGGCGAAGGCGGCUUACUGGACUGUAACUGACGUUGAGGCUCGAAAGUGUGGGGAGCAAACAGGAUUAGAUACCCUUGUAGUC